AGGAGAUGGGGCGGAUGUGUGGCCUCACCGCCGUUGUCCUUGUGACGUCGAGCUCAUUAGCAUUGGCUCGGGG
rnacentral:ribozyme from 1 species